rnacentral:tmRNA from 1 species
GGGGUUGUUUAGACUCGACAGGGCGUACUUUCAAAAUAGGCAAGCCGAUCAUGAUGGUACGAUCGUAAAAACUUCCAUCAACCGAUAAGUGCAAACUUCAUCCCAAAGGCCAAGGCCACGUUCGCUUCGGCGUUCGCUCCGUCUUUCGCUUUCGCCCGCGCCUAAUUCGCGCGGACCAUCGGCUCCUCGACUCCCGAUAGAGAACCGCCGGUGUCAUACUUCGGGAAGGUCCGGAGAUUUUCUUCUCGUCUUUCUCCUCCGAUCGCCUUUUGCAGAAGACCAGUCUUCCGCUCUCUUUCGUCUGUUUCAUAGAGAGGAAGGGACCUAAAGCAGACUACGCUUGUAGAAUAUUUUGGAAAAACGUGACUGGACAUGGGUGCAAUUCCCAUCAACUCCACUA